GUUGUUGCGGGAUCUCACAGGCUUUAAACCGCGGCGCCGCGGCGCCCGGGUGUGGAUCCCUAGAUGGGAGCCGGGGAUGGGCCGGGUGCCUGGUGGGUGGCAGUCGGGGCUGACGGCGGCGGCACUUUGCCGCCUCAGGCCCUGGACACCUUCACCCCGCCGCCUGCCCAGGCGGGCCGGCCCUGCCCGUCCACCGGCCGCCGAGAGUCCCCGGCCUUGGGUCCCCGGGGCCGCUGACUGGCCUCGGUCACCUCCCGGGGAAGGCUCCCGCGCCUCCAUCUGCCCCCGCAGGAAGGGACCCUCUUCUCGCCCGCGAGGCUUCUCCGGGUGGGAUCGUCCUGGCCCCCAGCCCUAAGGGAUCCGCCCCCUCCGAGCAUCCGCCGCCCCUCGGAGACCACUCCAGCUCGGACGGACCCACUCCAGCCCCCGCUGCACGCGGAAGCGCUCAUCCUCCCCGCCUGCCCCGUUCCCUCCCCCUUCUCCUGUGGGACAACCAGGGACCGCAGCUCCCCGCUCCCCAGGUGUGGGGGCUCCGACACGAACGCCUCUGCUCGCAGGGCGGUGAGCGCAGAUCCCACGGGUCCCUCGGUCGGGGGUCGAGGCUGCUUCCGUUUCCAUCCCGGACCCGACAAUGGGCGGGAAAAAGAAGGCUUUACACGACUACGCGGCGGAGUUCACCGACCUGGUGGUGAAGCACCUGAUUGAGCACAGUGACUCUGGGGACACGUCUGUGGUGGAGACCCUUUACUGCAGGGCCUGCGAGCUGCCCGUGCGCGUGCGGAGGGACCGCAUCCUGGAACACCUGUCCUCGGGCAGGCAGCACGGCCUGCGGACGCCCAUUCUCAUGUAAAUGUCAGUGCCAACGCUGGUGUUUCAGGAGUCAUCCCAGCGGGCUGCGGGCUAUUUUAGGAUUCUCUGCCCUGCAAACGUUUCCAAAGUACGUGGACAGGCCGCCUGAUGACACUACGUUUACGGGAUCUGCUAGUGGCUUGCCUACUUAGGGAGUAAACCCUGUGAAGUCUCGCAGUUUUGUUAAAGUGUGCGUGGCCACCUGAAUGCUGCCUUAUCACAAGCCAGAUACAUACUGGUCUGUAGGGUAACUCCCCACUGUUGAUCCUCUGAGAUGAUUGUGGACUGGGUGCUGUGAGUCCUGCCACUUUGUUUAAGUGAAUGUGUCUUUUGUCCAGCUCAGCCGCCUCGGAUCUCGCUGCCACCAGCCUUACUGCACACCCGUGCCACCCGCCCUUGCCCCGUCAGCCUCAGCCUCAGCUCAUUCUCUCAGGCAGUCCCAGCAUUGGCACGGUACCUCCUCCCGCUGUGGGCCACACGUCUCUGCUCCCUGUCAACCCUCCUGCCAUCAGCACCACCACCAGCGACUUGUCUGCCCGGGAGGAUGCAACACCAUCUGCCUCCACCGGCCACCUUUCAGUGUUUCCUGCUUUCCAAGUAAAGAUACCAGCAGUGCCCUCAGAGCAGACCAGCCAGAGUUUUUCUGAAGCCUCCCACAGGGUGCUCCCCGGAGGAGGCCCGAGAUGCUCUCGUGACUUUGGAGCCGGGGUGGCUGGCCACCUUGGCCUGGGCAUCUUUGGGGUGGGCUUCGGGAGCCCGGCACUGCUGCAGAGUGUGGUGGAUGAGAACAGCUGCUGCUUGCUGUACGUGGUGGAGGACCAGCUGUGUGAUGUGGAGCAAGCCUUCAGAGCUGAGCAUUUGGGCCAACACCAGAGUGGUUCGGGAACAGGAUGCAGACAUUGUCCUCAACGACCAGCGGCACUUUGAUCCGGUUUUCCAGUUCUUGCACAAGCAAGUUUGUGUCAGCCACGCCCUGGGGAGGAUCCACUGGAUCACCGCCGUCACUGCCUGUUCCCGGCGGCCUCUCCGGCUUCCCUAAAGAGAGCAGGUGGGACUUUCUACAACGCUGCUGUGCACGACGUGGAUGCCGUAUGCAUGUUGCUGGGGGAAGCCACUCCGGACACUGUGUUUUCUCUGGGACAUGUCUUCUGCCCAGAUAUGGCCGCCUUAAAAGAUGCAGAUGCUGUUGUGAUCAGCAUGAAGUUUCCCUGUGAGGCCGUGGUUAGCGUGGACAUCAGCCAGCACUGCACAGACAGCUGCGACCAGGACGUCAGCCAGCACUGCACAGACAGCUGCGACCAGAGACUGGAGGGAAAUAACCUCCUGAAAUCACCAAAGAGCAGUUCCUCAGGGCCUUCCGGGUGACCGUGGCCGUGGAGCAGUCGUGGUGAAACCGGUCAGCUGUGGACCUGCCCUGCGAAUCGGCAGAGGCCUCCGUGGUGAAGACAGAAGCUCCGUGAACCAACUCGAGGCUGGAGCCAAGAUCCUGCCUGAUAUCCAGUUGCCUGUUUCACUUGUUACUGUUACUGGGAGAGGGAGACAAAACCUCAUGGCAAUCUUGUCCUCACUGGAGACUCAGAAGGGGAAGCAUUGGGAAACCAUGUAUGUUUCAUUUCUGGUUUAACCAGGCUUUUCAGGAUGGGACUUCAGACCAAGGACACAAGUUGGGCUUGCUUAGGUGUUUUGUGUUGUGCGCAGGCCUCAGAGAUGCUCUUCCGGUCAGAGUUCCCUUGGCAGGGCCUUGGAGGCCUCUGGUUGGCUCUCUCAGGAAGAGGGCAGGUCAGGGAUUGGGCGGUGUAAAUUGACUCAGAAACCUGCGGUUUCAGCUUUUCUGUGGCAAACAGGGCCGAGGGCUGGUGAAGCUGUUAAGGCUAAAUGUCGCAUGCAUGAGGCGGGCUGCAGGCCUCCUUAGGCCUUUUUUGGGGUAAUUACACCAGUAUUUAAAAACAUUUUUUUUUGUUUGUUUUGAGAUGGAGUCUUGCCCUGUCACCCAGGCUGGAGUGCAAUGGUGCGAUCUCGGCUCACUGCAACCUCCGUCUCCCAGGUUCAAGCGAUUCUUCUGCCUCAGCCUUCUGAGUAGCUGGGAUUACACGCGUGUGCCACCACGCUCGGCUAAUUUUUGUAUUUUUAGUAGAGAUGGGAUUUCACCAUGUUGGCCAGGCUGGUCUCGAACUACUGACCUCGUGAUCCACCUGCCAUGGCCUCCCAAAGUGCUGGGAUUACAGGCGUGAGCCACCAUGCUCGGCCUAAAAAACAAUUUUCUUGAAGAAUCCGAUUUUGUGCAUAGUAAUGACACAGCACCAUUCCUGAGAAAUAGGAAAUAUAUGUGUGUGGUAUGAAAAGCCCAUAUUCUGUUCUUGUCACCUGAAUCUAGGCUUCCUCUUUGGAUGUGAACGCGGGAAUGAACAGUGGCUGUUUUCCACCCAAAGGGGCGUGGAGACCUUUUGGAAACGGGCUUUCUCCUUUCCAUUUUGCAGCCGGGGGCGGGUGGAAACCUUCCUUCGAAGGGUAGUGCCUUGGGGAGCAGCAGACCUGCUCUGAGUCCAGCUUAGCUUUCCAAAAUUCUGUGUGGAACUUACUGGAGAUGUUUUUAUAUAUUUGAAAAUAAUGGCCUGUAUUUCUCACGCUAUACUUAAAAAAAAUAACUAACCUUUUAAACAAAGAUAUUCAAACUCACCCUUGUGCUGAAAGCACUCACAUUUCUGUGUUCAUUCCUGAAAGGGCGUUUUAGAGUCCCCGUUUCUACGUUCUAUGUGGCACCCUCUUGCCGAGGGAACAUCCAGAAUCCCUCCACUUCCUGUCUAGUUUGAGGCCUCAACACCUUCAUGAUCCAGAGUCCUGCGGCUAUGAGGGGGUGGGCCCACCACCGCCCAGCCCUCCUUGGUGGACGUGGGGACAGGUAGGAGCCUAGGGAAAGGGGUGGGCGGGCUCUGGUGUGACGGCGUGAGCGCUAGCCAGGAAGAUGGGGCCAGGGCUUGGCAUGGCACCUCACCUGUGGGGGAACUCGGCGGAGCUUCCUGGCGGCAUCUCCCCCUCUUGCCUUGGUCCUUUCUAUCUUUGUUUUAGGCCAAUUUCUAAAAAGACUGAGGCCUCCUUCAAGGUUGAACAGAUUUCUAGAGCCUUGUUUUUGCUGUGACAAGUCCCUAGUCCCUGUUCACAACUCUGAAACCAAGAAACCUGAGAACCAAGAGAACUGAAAUGAAGCCCGUUGGUCUCAGCCUGGCUUGAGCCAACAUGAGGCUCUCUGCUGCCUUUUGUUUUCUUAGGUUUUGCUGAGAAACGGGAGUGCGUUCUGUGUCGGUGUUUGUGACGCCCUGAGACCCUGCUUGGCCUAGCUAAAGUCCAGAAGGCCUGGGCCCCACAGGGCUUGGAUGAGGGCUCAUGGGCCUGUACUUCAGGAGGCCUGAGAGGCCCGGUCAGUCCCAUGAGGCUACUCGGCUUGGCCCGCAGGUCCUCCGAGGCACAGGGCAGAGGGACACCCCAGGGACCCAUCAGACUCACGACACAGAGAAACUCAAGUGGGGUGCCAGGGCCGGCCACAGAGGCCACGGGCUUCCUGCCUGUGAGGAGCCGCCCUGUUUGUCUGAGCCCUUUGGAGAUUUAGGUUGAGUCAUGAGAACCGGUCAUUGGAACAUACACUUUAUUAUGUUACAAAAACAAAAAUCCCCACUGAAACACAGCUAAAAAAAUAACACAUUUUCCCAAGAUUACAUUACCAAAAACAGUUGUUAUGUCAUUGGAGGGCGUCCAUUAAUACUGCUCGGAGAAGCACGAUCUUACACGAAAAACACGGAUGGGAUUUCGUUUUCACCUUAAAGCAUUAAAGUGCUUUAACUGGUAA
rnacentral:lncRNA from 1 species